rnacentral:rRNA from 1 species
UACGUAGGGCGCAAGCGUUGUCCGGAAUUAUUGGGCGUAAAGAGCUCGUAGGCGGUUUGUCGCGUCUGCUGUGAAAACCUAAGGCUCAACCUUGGGCUUGCAGUGGGUACGGGCAGACUAGAGUGCGGUAGGGGUGACUGGAAUCCUGGUGUAGCGGUGGAAUGCGCAGAUAUCAGGAGGAACACCGAUGGCGAAGGCAGGUC